AAGUCGUAACAAGGUUUCCGUAGGUGAACCUGCGGAAGGAUCAUUAGUGCGAUUGUGCGCCCUCCCUGCGGUGUCAUGCCGCGGGGGGUGGUCUGCAUAAGCCAUCCUUGUGUUGUGUGCGUUGUUGUGUGUGCUCCCAUGCUGUGCGCACCUUGUGCGUCCACUGGGGCACAUGCCUUUUUAACCCGUCCAACCAUUCCUUUUCUAAUACCCUGCUCCUAAAACGAGCACAAACAAUCGAAAACUGCCAGCAACGGAUCACUCGGUUCUC
rnacentral:misc_RNA from 1 species